rnacentral:rRNA from 1 species
CCUACGGGAGGCAGCAGUGAGGAAUAUUGGUCAAUGGGCGCGAGCCUGAACCAGCCAAGUAGCGUGAAGGAUGACUGCCCUACGGGUUGUAAACUUCUUUUAUAAAGGAAUAAAGUGAGGCACGUGUGCCUUUUUGUAUGUACUUUAUGAAUAAGGAUCGGCUAACUCCGUGCCAGCAGCCGCGGUAAUACGGAGGAUCCGAGCGUUAUCCGGAUUUAUUGGGUUUAAAGGGAGCGUAGAUGGGUUGUUAAGUAAGUUGGGAAAGUUUGCGGCUCAACCGUAAAAUUGCAAUUGAUACUGGCAGUCUGGAGUACAGUUGAGGUAGGCGGAAUUCGUGGUGUAGCGGUGAAAUGCUUAGAGGUCACGAAGAACUCCGAUUGCGAGGGCAGCUUACUAAGCUGCCGCGGCAAUGGAUGCUGGAAAGUGUGGUUAUCAAACAGGAUUAGAUACCCGGGUAGUC